CAGUUGUCAGUGUGAGCUCCUCGGAAUCUGGAUCCAACUAUCUGUGUGCUCUUCUUCGUCUGUCAUGGCUGGAUCUGGGAGUUCGAUGCUAUAUUCGUUUCUUCUAUUCAUCGCGACACUCUCUCUGCAGGAAGUGUAUAGAGGAAAGCUAGCAUCUUCAGAAUUGUAUACCAUCCUUGGUGGAUUUACUAGUUCUCUCAUAUUCAUUUUGUUGUUAACGUUCAUCGGAAACUAUCAAGAAACAUCUGGCAUAAGGACUGGAUGGGGUGCUGUUAUACUUGCUGAGGUUGUAGCUCUUAUUGCUGCUAGCACUGUUCAUCGAGUUAGCAUCACGACAUGCUUCUUGUUCUCAGCUGCAUUGCUGUAUGAGGUCAACAAGCUCUCAGGAGUGAUGGUUUCUAGAAGUGAAUCUAGAGGCAAAAGGCACUAAUGUACCCUUUCGCCUUCAGAGGCUGGGAUGGUUGGAACCAUUUGCUUUACCUUAGUAAUUUUCCUAGUAAUGUUAUGAGAGAUGAGGCAAAUUUUACCAGAACUUGCAGAACGAUAUAUUAAACGAAAUCAUGAGCGAGUUUAUGUCACUACAUUCUUGGUUAAUUUAGGUUUACUUAACCAGAAUGUUUUUAUAUAUUGUUUAACAACAUAACGUAUGAUAAUUUUGUGGUGAAAAUUCCUCAAGUAUUCCUACAAUAAGUGUUUUGUUGGUUUAAUUCAAGAAUAAAAAAG
rnacentral:misc_RNA from 1 species